rnacentral:rRNA from 1 species
GAUGAACGCUAGCUACAGGCUUAACACAUGCAAGUCGAGGGGAAACGAUAUUGGAAGCUUGCUUCCGAUAGGCGUCGACCGGCGCACGGGUGAGUAACGCGUAUCCAACCUGCCCAUCACUUGGGGAUAACCUUGCGAAAGUAAGACUAAUACCCAAUGACGUCUCUAGAAGACAUCUGAAAGAGAUUAAAGAUUUAUCGGUGAUGGAUGGGGAUGCGUCUGAUUAGCUUGUUGGCGGGGUAACGGCCCACCAAGGCGACGAUCAGUAGGGGUUCUGAGAGGAAGGUCCCCCACAUUGGAACUGAGACACGGUCCAAAACUCCUACGGGAGGCAGCAGUGAGGAAUAUUGGUCAAUGGACGAGAGUCUGAACCAGCCAAGUAGCGUGCAGGAAGACGGCCCUAAUGGGGUUGUAAACUGCUUUUAUAAGGGAAUAAAGUGGUCCACGUGUGGAUUUUUGUAUGUACCAUAUGAAUAAGGAUCGGCUAACUCCGUGCCAGCAGCC